rnacentral:rRNA from 1 species
AUUGAACGCUGGCGGCGGGCCUAACACAUGCAAGUCGAACGCGUGGCGGGCGGGUGAGUAAUGUCUGGGAAAAUGCCCGAUGGAGGGGGGUAACUACUGGAAACGGUAUCGAAUACCCCGUACCCUCUGGUAUGACCCGAUGGGAUUAGCUUGUAGGUGUGGUAAAGGCUCACCUAGGCGACGAUCCCUAGCUGGGCUGUGAGGAUGACCAGCCACACUGGAACUGAGACACGGUCCAGACUCCUACGGGAGGCAGCAGUGGGGAAUAUUGCACAAUGGGCGCAAGCCUGAUGCAGCCAUGCCGCGUGUAUGAAGAAGGCCUUCGGGUUGUAAAGUACUUUCAGCGGGGAGGCGUUACCCGCAGAAGAAGCACCGGCUAACUCCGUGCCAGCAGCCGCGGUAAUAC